AGCUGCCCUGCUGGGGACGGAGCUUCUCCGGCAGUCCUGCGGCUCCCUCUCCUCCACACUGUGACUCAUCCAUGACAGCCAGCGACGGUCAGGGCACGGAGGUCAUGCCCAAGCACACACGAGUGAACCACAGAAGGCUGUCCUGGAUGCUAAGCAGUCACUAAUUCUGCCCUGGCCUGCUGACCUUCUAUGUGGAGAAGAAGUGCAUCUGGCAUGAGAACUGCUUUAACCCGAAAGGUGGAGGUUGCAGUGAGCCGAGAUCGCGCCACUGCACUCCAGCCUGGGCAACAGAGCGAGACCCUGUCUUACAAAAAAAAAAAAUUAAAUGUAUACAGAUUUAUAUACAUUAAGUGUAUAUAAAUGUCACUCCACUAACGGGAAAAAAUGACACCUUCCAGAUGGUGGUCCCAAGGGGCCGGCCGCCCCACUGUCCUUCACAUUAGGGGGAGGAAGGUGGCUGCUGUGUGCUUGCAAGUCACCUGCUGAUUUGGACUGUUGUGUGCUCUCACCUAUACUUCAAGAUUUGCAAUUUUUUUUUUUUUUUUUUGAGAUGGAAUUUUGCUCUGUAGCCCAGGCUGGAGUGCAGUGGCACCAUCUCGGCUCACUGCAACCUCCACCUCCUGGUUCAAGCAAUCCUCCUGCCUCAGACUCUGGAGUAGAUGGGACUACAGGAGUUUGCAACCAUACCUGGCUAAUUUUUGUAUUUUCAGUAGAGAUGGGGUUUCACCAUGUUGGCCAGGCUGGUCUCGAACUCCUGACCUCAGGUGAGCCACCUGCCUCAGCCUCCCAAAGUGCUGGGAUCACAUGUGUGAGCUGCUGCGCACGGCCAAGAUUUGCAACUCUUGUGUUUCCAAGAUGUCUUGAAAAAAGUUUUAAAGGUUUUUUUUUUUUAUAAAAUUAUAUGUAUUUUUUCUUCAAUAGGUAACACAUGCAGGAGAUAGGAGGUAUGAAAUGCAGGAGUCAAACAGGCCCUGUCCCGCCUACCGCCUCUCCUCGGGACCAGGCUGUGGGUCUCUUGACGGUCUGCUCAAAUGCUUCUAGGCUUGCUGGUGUCUCUUUUCCUUUUGUUUAUAACGCUUUAAAAAUUGAUCAUCCAUUAAAAUUGACUUUUUUCUUUCGGUGGACAGUUCUACAGUUUCUUUUUUCUUUUUUUUUUUUGAGACAGUGUCUCCUCCCUCUGUUGCCCAGGCUGGAGUGCAGUGGUGUGAUCUCGGCUCACAGCAACCUCCGCCUUCUAGGCUCCAACAAUCCUCCCACCUCAGCCUCCCAAGUAGCUGGGACUACCCAAGUGUGAGCCACCAUGCCCAGCUAAUUUUUGUAUUUCUGGUAGAGACGGGGUUUCACCACCUUGCCCAAGCUGGUCUCGAACUCCUGAGCUCAAGCAAUCGGCCUGCCUUGGCCUCCCAAAGUGGUGGGAUUAUAGGUGUGAGCCACUGCACCCGGCCUCAGUUCUACCGAUUUUAACACAUGGAUAGAUGCAUGUAACCACUUUGGGAGGCUGAGACAGGAGGAUCACUUGAGGUCAGGAGUUCAAGACCACCCUGGGCAACACAGGGA
rnacentral:lncRNA from 1 species